rnacentral:rRNA from 1 species
UACGUAGGGGGCGAGCGUUGUCCGGAAUUAUUGGGCGUAAAGCGCGCGCAGGCGGUUUUUUAAGUUCGUGGUGAAAGACCGGGGCUCAACCCCGGAGCGUCCGCGAAGACUGGAAGACUGGAGUGUCGGAGAGGAGUGCGGAAUACCUGGUGUAGCGGUGGAAUGCGUAGAGAUCAGGUGGAACACCGAUGGCGAAGGCAGCACUCUGGCCGAAUACUGACGC